CCAGGAUAAGGAGUUAAAUUCAGUAAUAUCAUGAUGGUUAUAGCAUCAUCUGUCAUAAAGGGGUUAUUAAUAACGCCCAACAGUCUGGUACUGAAUGCAAGGCUACGUCCAGGAAGGAUGCAGAGAGAAAGACGACCGUUCUGAGUUAUUUGUCAGUUGUCCUGGUUUUCAGAGUCACGGGAGGAAAUGCAUUUAGUAAACAACACAUGUUCGAUGUAUCACAAACACAGUUGCUUGAUAGAUGCUGCUCUGAUCACAUGCAGUGCUACUGGAUGAUAUUAAAAUACAUGUCACUUGCCCCCAUGUGCUUAGAUGACAGGUCCGUCAUGACCCAUUCAUAGAUUCUUUCUUCCCAGACUUGAGAUGUAAA